rnacentral:lncRNA from 1 species
CAAGGCCUGUCAGGGGGAGGGCUCCACUUCUCAGCCCAUCUGCAGUAGGUCCACAUUCGGGCACUGGCUCCUUCUUAGUCCCAUGGAAGCACAGAUCAACAUCAUUGCCCUUGCAAACUUCUCUCAGCUUAGGAGAGUCUACUCGCUCUUUGCACAUUGUUGACAUGAAAUGAAUAUUAAACACCAAACCUCAUAGAGGCCAGCCCUGCUGGGCGAGCAAUGAA